rnacentral:rRNA from 1 species
UACGUAGGUGACAAGCGUUGUCCGGAUUUACUGGGCGUAAAGAGUGCGCAGGCGGUCGUUCAAGUCGAGUGUGAAAGCCCCCGGCUCAACUGGGGAGGGUCAUUCGAUACUGAUCGACUCGAAGGCAGGAGAGGGAAGUGGAAUUCCCGGUGUAGUGGUGAAAUGCGUAGAUAUCGGGAGGAACACCAGUGGCGAAGGCGACUUCCUGGCCUGUUCUUGACGCUGAGGCGCGAAAGCUAGGGGAGCAAACGGG